rnacentral:rRNA from 1 species
UACGUAGGGGGCAAGCGUUGUCCGGAUUUAUUGGGCGUAAAGAGCGUGUAGGCGGCCAGGUAGGUCCGCUGUGAAAACUCGAGGCUCAACCUCGAGAUGUCGGCGGAAACCAUCUGGCUAGAGUCCGGAAGAGGAGAGUGGAAUUCCUGGUGUAGCGGUGAAAUGCGCAGAUAUCGAGGAGAACAGCCGGUAGGCGAAGGCGGGUCUG